rnacentral:rRNA from 1 species
GAUGAACGCUAGCGGCAGGCCUAAUACAUGCAAGUCGAACGAUAGUCUUGUCUUCGGAUGAGAUGAGAGUGGCGCACGGGUGAGUAACGCGUACACGACCUACCUUACAGAGGGGGAUAGCCUUGGGAAACUGGGAGUAAUCCGCCAUAGUGUAUAUGAUCUGCAUGGAUGGUAUACUAAAGCUUCGGCGCUGUAAGAUGGGUGUGCGUCUGAUUAGGUAGUUGGUAGGGUAACGGCCUACCAAGCCAACGAUCAGUAGCCGGCCUGAGAGGGUGGCCGGCCACACUGGGACUGAGACACGGCCCAGACUCCUACGGGAGGCAGCAGUGGGGAAUAUUGCGCAAUGGGCGAAAGCCUGACGCAGCAACGCCGCGUGAGUGAAGAAGGCCU